rnacentral:tRNA from 1 species
GAUCCGGUAGUUCAGCUGGUUAGAAUGCCGCCCUGUCACGGCGGAGGUCGCGGGGACGAGUCCCGUCCGGAUCG